CUGAACCAGCCAAGUAGCGUGAAGGAUGACUGCCCUAUGGGUUGUAAACUUCUUGUAUAAAGGAAUAAAGUCGGGUAUGCAUACCCGUUUGCAUGUACUUUAUGAAUAAGGAUCGGCUAACUCCGUGCCAGCAGCCGCGGUAAUACGGAGGAUCCGAGCGUUAUCCGGAUUUAUUGGGUUUAAAGGGAGCGUAGAUGGAUGUUUAAGUCAGUUGUGAAAGUUUGCGG
rnacentral:rRNA from 1 species